UACGUAGGUGGCAAGCGUUGUCCGGAAUUACUGGGUGUAAAGGGAGCGCAGGCGGGACUGCAAGUUGGAUGUGAAAUACCGAGGCUCAACCUCGGGGCUGCAUCCAAAACUGUAGUUCUUGAGUGAAGUAGAGGUAGGCGGAAUUCCGAGUGUAGCGGUGAAAUGCGUAGAUAUUCGGAGGAACACCAGUGGCGAAGGCGGCCUACUGGGCUUUAACUGACGCUGAGGCUCGAAAGUGUGGGGAGCAAACAGG
rnacentral:rRNA from 1 species